rnacentral:rRNA from 1 species
UUUUCCUACGGGAGGCAGCAGUGGGGAAUAUUGCACAAUGGGGGAAACCCUGAUGCAGCAACGCCGCGUGAGUGAAGAAGUAUUUCGGUAUGUAAAGCUCUAUCAGCAGGGAAGAAAAUGACAGUACCUGACUAAGAAGCCCCGGCUAACUACGUGCCAGCAGCCGCGGUAAUACGUAGGGGGCAAGCGUUAUCCGGAUUUACUGGGUGUAAAGGGGGCGUAGACGGCUGCGCAAGUCAGAAGUGAAAGCCCGGGGCUCAACCCGUGAACUGCAUGUGAAACUGUUUCCCUUGAGUGUCGGAGAG